rnacentral:rRNA from 1 species
AGAGUUUGAUCCUGGCUCAGAACGAACGCUGACGGUGUGCCUCAUACAUGCAAGUCGAGCGGGCUCAGCAAUGGGUCAGCGGCGGACGGGUGAGUAACACGUGAACAAUCUGCCCUCGAAUCUGGGAUAACAGUUCCAACGAGCUGCUAAUACCGGGUAGGUUAGUUUCGUCGCAUGGCGAGACUAAGAGAGUUCCAAUUGGAACGUUCGAGGAUGAGUUCGCGGCCCAUUAGCUAGUUGGCGGGGUAAAGGCCCACCAAGGCAACGAUGGGUAGCCGGCCUGAGAGGGUGAUCGGCCACAUUGGGACUGAGAUACGGCCCAGACUCCUACGGGAGGCAGCAGUAGGGAAUUUUGCGCAAUGGACGAAAGUCUGACGCAGCAACACCGUGUGAGGGAUGAAGCAUUUCGGUGUGUAAACCUCUGUCGAUGAUGAAUAAUGUUUCGGGGAGUGGAAAGCCUCGGAAUUGAAGGUAAUCAUGAAGGAAGCACCGGCUAACUCUGUGCCAGCAGCCGCGGUAAUACAGGGGGUGCAAGCGUUGUUCGGAAUCACUGGGCGUAAAGGGAGCGUAGGCGGAACUACAAGACAGGGGUUAAAGAUCCGGGCUCAACCUGGAGGAUGCCUUUGUGACUGUGGUUCUUGAGUAUGGUAGAGGUUGGCGGAAUUUCCGGUGUAGCGGUGGAAUGCGUAGAGAUCGGAAAGAACACCAGAGGCGAAGGCGGCCAACUGGACCAAUACUGACGCUGAGGCUCGAAAGCGUGGGGAGCAAACAGGAUUAGAUACCCUGGUAGUCCACGCC